AGCACUUGUACUUGUCUUUGUUGAACUGAUGGACAAAGACUUAAAGACAGGUGCAAAACUAAAUCCUCUUUUGCAACCCAGAGCUCAUUGUUAAGUAUGAGUUUUUGAUACCUAUAGGAAGGAAUAUG